rnacentral:rRNA from 1 species
AUUGAACGCUGGCGGCAGGCUUAACACAUGCAAGUCGAGCGAGCGGCGGACGGGUGAGUAAUGUCUGGGAAACUGCCUGAUGGAGGGGGAUAACUACUGGAAACGGUAGCUAAUACCGCAUACCAUCAGAUGUGCCCCGAUGGGAUUAGCUAGUAGGUGGGGUAAUGGCUCACCUAGGCGACGAUCCCUAGCUGGUCUGAGAGGAUGACCGGCGCCACGGGAACUGAGACCGGGUCCGGACUCCUGCGGGAGGCAGCAGUGGGGAAUAGUGCAAAAUGGGCGGAAGCCUGAGGCAGCCGUGCCGAGUGUGUGGAGAAGGCCUUCGGGUUGUAAAGCACUUUCAGCGAGGAGGCGUUACUCGCAGAAGAAGCACCGGCUAACUCCGUGCCAGCAGCCGCGGUAAUAC